rnacentral:rRNA from 1 species
UGAGGAAUAUUGGUCAAUGGGCGCGAGCCUGAACCAGCCAAGUAGCGUGAAGGAUGAAGGUCCUACGGAUUGUAAACUUCUUUUAUAAGGGAAUAAAGUCACCCACGUGUGGGUGUUUGUAUGUACCUUAUGAAUAAGCAUCGGCUAACUCCGUGCCAGCAGCCGCGGUAAUACGGAGGAUGCGAGCGUUAUCCGGAUUUAUUGGGUUUAAAGGGAGCGUAGACGGGCCGUUAAGUCAGCUGUGAAAGUUUGAGGCUCAACCUUAAAAUUGCAGUUGAUACUGGCGUCCUUGAGUACGGUUGAGGCAGGCGGAAUUCGUGGUGUAGCGGUGAAAUGCUUAGAUAUCACGAAGAACCCCGAUUGCGAAGGCAGCCUGCUAAACCGCCACUGACGUUGAGGCUCGAAAGUGUGGGUAUCAAACAGGAUUAGAUACCCUGGUAGUCCACACGGUAAACGAUGAAUACUCGCUGUUUGCGAUAUACUGCAAGCGGCCAAGCGAAAGCGUUAAGUAUUCCACCUGGGGAGUACGCCGGCAACGGUGAAACUCAAAGGAAUUGACGGGGGCCCGCACAAGCGGAGGAACAUGUGGUUUAAUUCGAUGAUACGCGAGGAACCUUACCCGGGCUUAAAUUGCAGAUGAAUUACGGUGAAAGCCGUAAGCCGCAAGGCAUCUGUGAAGGUGCUGCAUGGUUGUCGUCAGCUCGUGCCGUGAGGUGUCGGCUUAAGUGCCAUAACGAGCGCAACCCUUGUUGUCAGUUACUAACAGGUUUUGCUGAGGACUCUGACAAGACUGCCAUCGUAAGAUGUGAGGAAGGUGGGGAUGACGUCAAAUCAGCACGGCCCUUACGUCCGGGGCUACACACGUGUUACAAUGGGGGGUACAGAGGGCCGCUACCACGCGAGUGGAUGCCAAUCCCAAAAACCUCUCUCAGUUCGGACUGGAGUCUGCAACCCGACUCCACGAAGCUGGAUUCGCUAGUAAUCGCGCAUCAGCCACGGCGCGGUGAAUACGUUCCC